rnacentral:rRNA from 1 species
AGCAGUAGCCACGGUAAUACGAAGGGGGCUAGCGUUGCUCAGAAUGACUGGGUGUAAAGCGCACGUAGGCGGAUUUGUUAGUCAGGGGUGAAAUCCCGGGGCUCAACCUCGGAACUGCCUUUGAUACUGCAAGUCUCGAGUCCGGAAGAGGUGAGUGGAAUUCCUAGUGUAGAGGUGAGAUUCGUAGAUAUUAGGAAGAACACCAGUGGCGAAGGCGGCUCACUGGUCCGGAACUGACGCUGAGGUGCGAAAGCGUGGGGAGCAAACAGGAUUAGAUACCCCCGUAGUCCCUGUCUCUUAUAC